CUGCUAUCAUUUCUACAAUACUCUGUUGGUUACGUGGCCAGCCCUGUUGGAUACAAGGGCCUGUACAAGGCAUGGAUAUCUGGACGUGGGGAUGGUGAAGGAGCCUUGGAGCCUGCUUACUUUUCUCCAUACAUCAAGAGCUGGACCUAUGGAAAUUUUAAAAAUUUAAGUUGGGGAUUUGACCUUCCUGAACACUGCGCUGCCUGGCUGAGGGCUGACUUACAAGAGCCAUCCUUUGGCUUACUUGCUCCGAAAAAGAAGGAACAACAUGGAGAAGGAAGCCUGAAGAUCAAACUGUUGCAGCAUUCACAUUGCCAGCUCCCUUGACAAUAUGCAAGAAUCCCUGUACAAAUUAAUAUGCAGUAAUAGGACCCAAAGGCUAGGGUCAGAAGUCGGUGUUCUAUUCUGCCUCCACAAUCAUGGGAGAAGCUCAGGAAAGGUGGUAUUCUUUGCCUCAUAGUCCUCUGCUUCCUUGUCAGAGCACACUUACUAGUCAGCAGGUCUAGUGUUUAUGAGUGGCAUACAAGUCACAGGUCUAGGACUUUAUCUACAUUGAUCACAAC
rnacentral:lncRNA from 1 species